rnacentral:rRNA from 1 species
UACGAAGGGGGCUAGCGUUGUUCGGAAUUACUGGGCGUAAAGCGCACGUAGGCGGACUUUUAAGUCAGGGGUGAAAUCCCGGGGCUCAACCUCGGAACUGCCUUUGAUACUGGAAGUCUUGAGUAUGGAAGAGGUAAGUGGAAUUGCGAGUGUAGAGGUGAAAUUCGUAGAUAUUCGCAAGAACACCAGUGGCGAAGGCGGCUCACUGGCCCGAUACUGACGCUGAGGUGCGAAAGCGUGGGGAGCAAACAGG